UGAAAUCUCGAGGCUCAACCUCGAAACUGCGUCUGAAACUGCUAGUCUAGAAUGUCGGAGGGGAUAGGGGAAUUUCACGUGUAGGGGUAAAAUCCGUAGAGAUGUGAAGGAACACCGGAGGCGAAGGCGCCUAUCUGGACGACUAUUGACGCUGAGGCUCGAAAGCGUGGGGAGCAAACAGGAUUAGAUACCCUGGUAGUCCACGCCGUAAACGAUGAACACUAGUUAUUGGGGGUAUUGACUCCCUCAGUGACGCAGCUAACGCAUUAAG
rnacentral:rRNA from 1 species